rnacentral:pre_miRNA from 1 species
CGGGGGAGGCGGGAUCCUGGGCUGUGUCCCGGGCUCCCAAUGCUCCCGGUCUGCGCUGUUGGAUUCGCGCUCCCGCCCCGAAGCCCCCU